rnacentral:rRNA from 1 species
ACACAUUGCAGUCGAGGGGUAUAGUUCUUCGGAACUAGAGACCGGCGCACGGGUGCGUAACGCGUAUGCAAUCUACCUUUCACAGAGGGAUAGCCCAGAGAAAUUUGGAUUAAUACCUCAUAGUAUUAUAGAGUGGCAUCACUUUAUAAUUAAAGUCACAACGGUGAAAGAUGAGCAUGCGUCCCAUUAGCUAGUUGGUAAGGUAACGGCUUACCAAGGCAACGAUGGGUAGGGGUCCUGAGAGGGAGAUCCCCCACACUGGUACUGAGACACGGACCAGACUCCUACGGGAGGCAGCAGUGAGGAAUAUUGGACAAUGGGCGCAAGCCUGAUCCAGCCAUGCCGCGUGCAGGAUGACGGUCCUAUGGAUUGUAAACUGCUUUUGUACAGGAAGAAACACUGGUUCGUGAACCAGCUUGACGGUACUGUAAGAAUAAGGAUCGGCUAACUCCGUGCCAGCAGCCGCGGUAAUACGGAGGAUCCAAGCGUUAUCCGGAAUCAUUGGGUUUAAAGGGUCCGUAGGCGGUUUAGUAAGUCAGUGGUGAAAGCCCAUCGCUCAACGGUGGAACGGCCAUUGAUACUGCUAAACUUGAAUUAUUAGGAAGUAACUAGAAUAUGUAGUGUAGCGGUGAAAUGCUUAGAGAUUACAUGGAAUACCAAUUGCGAAGGC